rnacentral:rRNA from 1 species
UGAGCAACCUGCCCUUAACUCUGGGAUAAGCCUGGGAAACUGGGUCUAAUACCGGAUAUGACUCCUCAUCGCAUGGUGGGGGGUGGAAAGCUUUAUUGUGGUUUUGGAUGGACUCGCGGCCUAUCAGCUUGUUGGUGAGGUAAUGGCUCACCAAGGCGACGACGGGUAGCCGGCCUGAGAGGGUGACCGGCCACACUGGGACUGAGACACGGCCCAGACUCCUACGGGAGCAG